rnacentral:rRNA from 1 species
GACGAACGCUGGCGGCGUGCUUAACACAUGCAAGUCGAACGGAAAGGCCCUGCUCUUGUGGGGUGCUCGAGUGGCGAACGGGUGAGUAACACGUGAGUAACCUGCCCUUGACUUUGGGAUAACUUCAGGAAACUGGGGCUAAUACCGGAUAGGAGCUCCUGCUGCAUGGUGGGGGUUGGAAAGUUUCGGCGGUUGGGGAUGGACUCGCGGCUUAUCAGCUUGUUGGUGAGGUAGUGGCUUACCAAGGCUUUGACGGGUAGCCGGCCUGAGAGGGUGACCGGCCACAUUGGGACUGAGAUACGGCGCAGACUCCUACGGGAGGCAGCAGUGGGGAAUAUUGCGCAGUGGGCGGGAGCCUGAUGCAGCAACGCCGCGUGCGGGAUGACGGCCUUCGGGUUGUAAACCGCUUUCGCAUGUGACGAAGCGUGAGUGACGGUAAUGGGUAAAAAAGCACCGGCUAACUACGUG